AGGGGGGGGUUAACCAACAAGAACUGCUAAUUCUUACUUCUGGGCCUAAACCCCCAGCCCCCUCA
rnacentral:tRNA from 1 species